AGAGUUUGAUCAUGGCUCAGGACGAACGCUGGCGGCGUGCUUAACACAUGCAAGUGGAGCGACGAACCAGGGCUUGCCCUGGGGCAGAGCCGCGAACGGGUGAGUAACACGUGGGUUACCUGCCUCGAUGACUGGGACAACCCGAGGAAACUCGGGCUAAUACCGGAUGUGCCCGCAAGGGGAAAGGAAGCUUCGGCCUCCGCAUCGAGAUGGGCCCGCGGCCCAUUAGCUUGUUGGUGAGGUAACGGCUCACCAAGGCUCCGAUGGGUAGCUGGUCUGAGAGGACGAUCAGCCACACUGGGACUGAGACACGGCCCAGACUCCUACGGGAGGCAGCAGUGGGGAAUCUUGCGCAAUGCGCGAAAGCGUGACGCAGCAACGCCGCGUGGGGGAAGAAGGCUUUCGGGUUGUAAACCCCUUUCAGUUGGGACGAAGCUUCGCCGAUUAAUAGUCGGCUGGAGUGACGGUACCUUCACAAGAAGCACCGGCUAACUACGUGCCAGCAGCCGCGGUAAUACGUAGGGUGCAAGCGUUGUCCGGAAUUAUUGGGCGUAAAGAGCGUGUAGGCGGCCCGAUUAGUCCGCUGUAAAAGUCCAGGGCUCAACCCUGGAAAGCCGGUGGAUACUAUCGGGCUAGAGUCCGGAAGGGGCGAGUGGAAUUCCUGGUGUAGCGGUGAAAUGCGCAGAUAUCAGGAGGAACACCAAUGGCGAAGGCAGCUCGCUGGGACGUGACUGACGCUGAGACGCGAAAGCGUGGGGAGCAAACAGGAUUAGAUACCCCCGUAGUCC
rnacentral:rRNA from 1 species